rnacentral:sRNA from 1 species
AGUUCACAGGGUAUUCCGGCGUUCUCUUUGCCAUUGAGAACUGCGCGUAGACUACGAAUUUCAAAGAUCUAUCCAUGCAAGCAUUUAACCGUCAGGGCUCUGGCGGUUUUUUUUUUGCCUGCCGAAAACCGUCAAAAGCAAAAGGCCCCCCGAUGUGCGUAUCAACGAGGGGCCUUUCUCUGGAAGGGACAGUCUCCGUUCAUUAGUCA